CAUUUUUAUUUUUUACAUAAACUUAAAUAAAACGUCGCCAGAAUUUAAAUGGAUGGAUGGAUGAAUGAACAUUAAAUAAAUGUGAAAUAACGCUGUUACAGUGUUGCCACAAUUUAAAAGCUGAAUGUAAAAAUUGAACUAGAAAAUGUACUAGAUUGUACCAACUUCAAACAAAUUUAAUAAAAUUAUAGAAAUAUGUAUAAACAUAAGUUUAAAUUAAAUUUUUUUUCCAAAAAUGUUGUAGACUGUGUCAAUUAUUAUUUUAAAAAAUCUCGCCUCUGGUACAGUACAUGCUCCCAGUGGGAGAAAUUGGGAGAAAAUGUACUAAAAUUGUACUAGCUCUGGCAACACUGCGCUGUUAUAUAUUUGACAUUUGACAUGAUUCAAAACAACGUGCUAGAAACUGCAUGCAAUACGAUUAAUAUUCAAGUUAUUUGCUAUUAUGCAACAUUUUCCAAUAUAAGGAAUAAAUAAUCCAGCAAAAUUAAAUUCAUCAAAGAAAACGAAAUAAAUUAGUCUUAUAAUAGUGUUUCAGAUGUUAGUGGUAGUGACAUUUGGUCGUUUGUUUAUACAAAAAUACAUAAAAUUUCGCAGGUUGAUACAGAUUUUUAGAUUGAGUGAAAAAUACGUUUCUUCCAGUUGGUUUAAUCCUACUGCAAUUAUGUUUUGUGAUUAAUUAAAAAUUAUUACUCAUACAGUUCAAUCACAUUUUAAAUUUAAUAGCUCCAAGCAUGGAUGAAAGUAAUUAUGAUUUUUGGGAUGAAACAUGCGCUUGUUAGGCUUAUGGAAAUUGAUAAUUUUAAGAUAAUCGAAUGCAUGUGAAAUAAAUAAUUGAUAAAUAAUAAAAAGAGUGGUAUUU